UACGAAGGGGGCUAGCGUUGCUCGGAAUCACUGGGCGUAAAGGGUGCGUAGGCGGGUCUUUAAGUCAGGGGUGAAAUCCUGGAGCUCAACUCCAGAACUGCCUUUGAUACUGAGGAUCUUGAGUUCGGGAGAGGUGAGUGGAACUGCGAGUGUAGAGGUGAAAUUCGUAGAUAUUCGCAAGAACACCAGUGGCGAAGGCGGCCGGCUGGGGGUGACCUGACGCUGAGGCGCGAAAGCGUGGGGAGCGAACCGG
rnacentral:rRNA from 1 species